GUGGCUGCUUUCCGCCUUCAGAUGCAGAUCCUGUCUUGGCUCUCUCUGGACGUGCCUCUGUCAGCCAAGUUCAAAUGCCAGUGUGAACCUGAUCUUCCAGAAAUUCAAGGCGAUGAUUCUUGUGAGAAGCUCACGUAUCAGGCUUAUGCAAGACUCCUCCAGAAAGUGCCAAGUUUCUGCCAAGGGAGGCAGUGAGAGCUCCAGGAUCCCUCCGCAGCCAAAGCCAACGUGCGAUGAGGGCAAUCCCCCUCCAGGAGUCACAUCUGGCAAGAUCAGACCAAGUGAGUGAGAACAGAGCAACGGCCAUCUAGUAAAGUCGUGUCAGAUAUGACUAAAUAAACGCAGGGUUCA